UACGAGGGGGGCGAGCGUUGUUCGGAAUUACUGGGCGUAAAGAGUGUGUAGGCGGUGCUGCAAGUCUGGUGUGAAAUCUCCCGGCUCAACUGGGAGGGUGCGCCGGAAACUGCAGUGCUAGAGGGUGGGAGAGGUAAGCGGAAUUCCUGGUGUAGCGGUGAAAUGCGUAGAUAUCAGGAGGAACACCUGUGGUGUAGACAGCUUACUGGACCACUUCUGACGCUGAGACGCGAAAGCGUGGGGAGCGAACAGG
rnacentral:rRNA from 1 species